rnacentral:rRNA from 1 species
GAUUCUCCAAGUGAGAGCCUUGGAGGGCCGAGUCGUGGAGGAAGGGUUCCAUGUGAACAGCCGUUGCACAUGGGUCAGUCGAUCCUAAGGCCUAGGGUAGUUCCGCUCUGAGCGGCGGCGCGCGCCUACCUCGUGUGGGUUUGCGCCCCCUGGCCGAAAGGGAAUCGGGUCAAUAUUCCCGAACCUGAAGGCGGAGCCCGCCAUCAUUUUGGUGGUCAGAGCUGCAAAGCUAUGGAGCCCGGAGACGCUGGCCGGAGCCCCGGGAAGAGUUGUCUUUUCUUUGUAAGGGGCGGGUUUCCCUGAAACCGACUGGAUCGGAGAUAGGGACCGCGGCCCCGUAGAGCGCCGCGUCUGGAGCGGCGUCCGGUGUUGCACUGGCCGGCCCUUGAAAAUCCGGGGGACGAGCGUGGACUCUCGCCUCAGGUCGUACCCAUAACCGCAGCAGGUCUCCAAGGUGAACAGCCUCUGGUCAAUAGAACAAUGUAGGUAAGGGAAGUCGGCAAGCCGGAUCCGUAACUUCGGGAAAAGGAUUGGCUCUGAGGACUGGGUCGGUCGGGCCGGGGCUGGAAGCAGGCACGGACCCUCAGCGUGACUGGGCGAGCCGGUCGAGGUUGGCUUCGGCCUUCUGAGACUGGCGAACCCGGACUUUGCAUUGGGUCCGGCUCGUGGACCGUCCUGGCUGCGCGGCAGCCUUGCGUUGUCGCCUCGGCCGGCGCCAAACAGCCGGCUCAGAACUGGUACGGACCAGGGGAAUCCGACUGUCUAAUUAAAACAGAGCAUUGCGAUGUCCGCAACCCGGGCGUUGACGCAAUGUGAUUUCUGCCCAGUGCUCUGAAUGUCAAAGUGAAGAAAUUCAAUGAAGCGCGGGUAAACGGCGGGAGUAACUAUGACUCUCUUAAGGUAGCCAAAUGCCUCGUCAUCUAAUUAGUGACGCGCAUGAAUGGAUUAACGAGAUUCCCACUGUCCCUAU